CCUUCCCUCGCCCAGCAGAUCCCCUGAGACCUCCCAGCACCUUCCCCGUGUCUCCUUGCUGCUCCCCGAGCGCCGGCGACACCUCCUUGAUCUGCCUGGUGACCAUGUUCUUCCCCCGUGACCUCACCAUCCACUGGUCCUCGGAGGUGGCCACCAACGCCGUGAUGCUGGGCACCGCGCAGGCCGACAGCCGCCUCUACAUCACCAGCAGCCACGUCCGCGUCACCGGCAACCAGGGAGAACUGUGGUGUCAGGCCCAACAGGGUUCCAGCAACCUCAGCUCCAAGACGUUCUUCAAGGACGUGUGCAAGCCGGUGACGCAAGGGCCGCAGGUCUACCUGGUGGAACCGCGGUGUGGAGAUGAAGACGGUGAGGUGGAAGUGAAGCUCCACUGCGUCUUCUGGAGUUCCAAGUCUGAGGAGAUCAAGGCGUCCUGGUUGCUGAACGGGGUGGAGAUGGGACAGCCACCCACCAAGGGGGCGGACACGGGGAGAAGUUUGUUGAUGAUCAAGCGGGACAGUUGGGACAAGGGGGACAUCUACACCUGCAAGGUGACCACCCAGUCGGUGGGUGGAGGAACUGUGAUGCGCAACACCAGCAAGUGCAUGGCCUGCUCCAGCACCUCGCUCCUACCGCAGCUCUACUCCAUCCAACCCUCCUACUCCGACCUUCUGGCCGGCCCCUCCAUGGCCUCCUGCCUUCUCCUGGGUCAACACCUUGAAGGUGCCACCAUCUCCUGGAGCAGACCGCAUGCGGGCGGGGCGGGUACCCUCACCCACCACCCCAACGGCACCCAGAGUCUUCUCCUCACCCGCCCCGUCACCCUGGACCAGUGGGGGACCGGUCUCAGGUUGGGCUGUGAAGCCACCGUCCCCUGCCACCCCAGCAUCUCCCUGGAGUUCCUGCUGGGUCCCACCUCCAGUCCCAGGAAGACACCGAAGGUGAAGGUCACCCGCGUCCCCCCCGGCGUCACCACCCCGGCUCUCCUCCUCUGUGACGUCACCGACUUCGCCCCUCGUGACAUCAGCAUCCAUUGGACGGGUAAACGUGACCUCCAUGCCCGUACCCAAACGAGUCCCGUCACCGGGCAGGAGGUCUUCUCCACCCUCAGCAUCCUCCGGUUGGAGAAGGACGAGGAAGGGAAGGACUACGCCUGCGUGGUGCAACAUCCCACCCUGGACCAACCCUUGCACGCCACCGAAGAGGACGGUCUCCCCAAACCGUCCCCCACCACACCCGUGCCACAGGAGAAGACCUCAUCCCACCGCGGUUGCCCCACAUCUCCGCCCGCUUCCCUUCGACCUCCCUCGUUCCACGAGCUCUUCCGACACCGAGCGGCCAACUUGACCUGCGUCACCCCGUUGGCCAACGCCACCGUGGAUUGGACGGCGGACGGGCGGCGGGCGGGGCCCGAGGAGGCGGAGACGCGUCGCGACGCCGCGACGGGGACGCAGAGUCGGUUGCGGGUCGGUUUGAGGGAUUGGAAGGCGACGGGCAACUUCUCCUGCCGGGUGCGGGACGGCGAGCGGGAGACGCGGCUGGAGAUCAGCCGGACGACGGGUCCCCUGAAGCCCCCGAGCCUCCAGGUCCUGCCGGCGUCCCCCGCCGAAGCUUGCGCCGGCCACAACUUCACCUUCUUCUGCCUCGUGAAGGACUUCUACCCGCCGGAGAUCGCGGCGUGGCGGCGGCGCGGCGCUAACGAAGCACCGGCUGACGAGGGGCCGAGUUGCGACCACGAAAGGCGUCGGUGCUCUUUGGUCGUCGCCGUGGACGUGGCGUGGGGCGAGUGGGCCGGCGGGACGUCCUACGGUUGUUCGGUCGCCCACGUCUCCAGCGACGAGGUCUUGGAGAUGAACGUCCAUGCCGACGGCGAUCCCUGGGAUUGCGCCGGGUCGCGCUUCGUGCCUUGCGGUUUAUUGGGCGACGGCGAUGACCUCGAGCCGGAGGAGGAGGGCAGCGCCUUGACCACCGUCUCCACCUUCGUGGUGCUCUUCCUCCUCCUCAUCUUCUACAGCGGCUUCGUCACCUUCCUCAAGGUGAAAUAACGACCCCACCCCACCCCCCGGCACCAUCAUCGUCCCCCACGACCUCGGUGGAAGAAACGCCGGAGAAGCACAAAAACGGGGGAAAAAAUCCCCAAAAAGGCCAAUUUUAUUCACAAUUUCCUCAUCUACGCAUGGCGGCGGGGGGAUAUUUCCAAUAA